rnacentral:rRNA from 1 species
CGGGUGAGUAAUGUCUGGGAAACUGCCCGAUGGAGGGGGAUAACUACUGGAGACGGUAGCUAAUACCGCAUAACGUCGCAAGACCAAAGAGGGGGACCUUAGGGCCUCUUGCCAUCGGAUGUGCCCAGAUGGGAUUAGCUAGUAGGUGGGGUAAUGGCUCACCUAGGCGACGAUCCCUAGCUGGUCUGAGAGGAUGACCAGCCACACUGGAACUGAGACACGGUCCAG